UGACGGUAGCUGACCAGAAAGCCACGGCUAACUACGUGCCAGCAGCCGCGGUAAUACGUAGGUGGCAAGCGUUGUCCGGAUUUAUUGGGCGUAAAGCGAGCGCAGGCGGUGAUUUAAGUCUGAUGUGAAAGCCCCCAGCUCAACUGGGGAGGGUCAUUGGAAACUGGAUCACUUGAGUGCAGAAGAGGAGAGUGGAAUUCCAUGUGUAGCGGUGAAAUGCGUAGAUAUAUGGAGGAACACCAGUGGCGAAGGCGGCUCUCUGGUCUGUAACUGACGCUGAGGCUCGAAAGCGUGGGUAGCAAACAGGAUUAGAUACCCUGGUAGUCCACGCCGUAAACGAUGAGUGCUAAGUGUUGGAGGGUUUCCGCCCUUCAGUGCUGCAGUUAACGCAUUAAGCACUCCGCCUGGGGAGUACGACCGCAAGGUUGAAACUCAAAGGAAUUGACGGGGGCCCGCACAAGCGGUGGAGCAUGUGGUUUAAUUCGAAGCAACGCGAAGAACCUUACCAGGUCUUGACAUCCUUUGACCGCCCUAGAGAUAGGGUUUCCCCUUCGGGGGCAAAGUGACAGGUGGUGCAUGGUUGUCGUCAGCUCGUGUCGUGAGAUGUUGGGUUAAGUCCCGUAACGAGCGCAACCCUUAUUGUUAGUUGCCAGCAUUGAGUUGGGCACUCUAGCAAGACUGCCGGUGACAAACCGGAGGAAGGCGGGGAUGACGUCAAAUCAUCAUGCCCCUUAUGACCUGGGCUACACACGUGCUACAAUGGGAAGUACAACGAGCAAGCCAAGCCGCAAGGCCUAGCGAAUCUCUGAAAGCUUCUCUCAGUUCGGAUUGCAGGCUGCAACUCGCCUGCAUGAAGCCGGAAUCGCUAGUAAUCGCGGAUCAGCAUGCCGCGGUGAAUCCGUUCCCGGGCCUUGUACACACCGCCCGUCACACCACGAGAGUUUGUAACACCCAAAGUCGGUGCGGCAACCCUUAGGGGAGCCAGCCGCCUAAGGUGGGACGAAUGAUUGGGGUGAAGUCGUAACAAGGUAGCCGUAUCGGAAGGUGCGGCUGGAUCACCUCCUUU
rnacentral:rRNA from 1 species